AUAUACACAUACUAAAAAUGUUAAAUAUUAAAAGACAAAUAUUAAUGAUAUUUUAUUUUGCAGAAGAGUGCUCAGAAUGUCAAUACAAUAAUUGAAAAACCAUUAGAAAAUGCAUAAUUCAAACUUAAUUUAACUCAGCCAUUUUGUGACAUGAUUAGGAAAUGAAGAGUGCUCAGAAUGUCAAUACAAUAAUUGAAAAACCAUUAGAAAAUGCAUAAUUCAAACUUAAUUUAACUCAGCCAUUUUGUGACAUGAUUAGGAAAUGAAGAGUGCUCAGAAUGUCAAUACAAUAAUUGAAAAACCAUUAGAAAAUGCAUAAUUCAAACUUAAUUUAACUCAGCCAUUUUGUGACAUGAUUA